UUUUUUUUUUAGGGGGGGAGAGGGUGCUGUAAGUUUGAAAUUUUAAAACUCCCUAGCUUAUGUGGAAGUUUGAAGACUUUCCAUGUGGGGUUUUCUCAUGGUUUGAAUUUUGAAUUUUGAAUUUCUUUGGCCAUGUUGAACCCGAUAAGAAUGAUAAGUUUCUACUUUUUUCAUUGUCUUCAUUUGCUCAUUUUGUAGUGAUUUUUGGAGACAUAGUACUUUUAUAGUUGAAAGGGAUUCCGGCAUUGCUUUGCACCAUCUUCAGGUUGGUAGUCUUUUCCACUAGAUCACAUGUUUUCUUUCUUGUUGAAUUGUUUGAGUGUUCAUGUAUUUGGUUGAGAACAUAAUGAACUACUUGAGCUUUUCUCCAUGCCCUAGGAAUUUCCUUAUGUUUCAAUCUUUCAUGUGGUGAUAGAGUUUGUUUCUGUUUGUUGUAGAUGUCAGAGCCUCGAAGUCCUAGUGAUCAGGGCUCCCCUAACUCUAACUCUAGGUUUGAGCUUGCAAUGUUGGAGUCUUGUACAAAAAAUUCGAGAUUUGGUGAUCUUCGCAAUUGUCAAGCCUUAGCCAAUAUUGGUUCUUCCUCUUUCAUGUCAGUGGGUGAGGGGGUUGUUUGUGACGCCAUACCCAUAUUUCACUCUAAGUUCACAGUAGACCAUUUAGUGCAAAACUUGUUAGAUAGCGAAAACCAACUUGAGGCCUUAAGGCAGUCAUGUAGUAUCCCCUGUAGUGUAGGAAUGUGUUUGGUGCAUCAUGAAUAAUUGUCCUUUGAACUGCCCAAGGGUCAUGUUAUAUUCUAUACCCAUAUAUUGUUGACUUUAAGGGUGAAGCUGCAUUUGCACCCGUGGUUGCAAUGGAUGAUGUAUUUCAUUGGAUAUGCGCAUGGGCAACUCUACCCUGGUUUUUGGAAUACCUUGAUAAGAUUUUAUAUUAUUUGGAUGGAAUGUGGGUUAGGUGAACCUUUUUUUCAUCAGUGGCGCUAGUGCUAUAAGAUGCACCCGGUGAAAGCAUGCACUGGGUAUGCCCAGUGUGCAUGUCGGAGUGAAAGAUAACAUAUUGUCUUUGGUAAGAAAAAGGUGUACUGCACUUGGAAAAACCGUUGGUGCCUUCUUUAUAAUGAUUGGGAGUAUGCUAAGGGUGUCAUGCCUGAGCGACGUGUUCCUACUCACUUCCAAACUGUAGUGACGCGAGGGACCUUCAAGCUGUUCGGAUGGGAGCUAGCUGACGUAGAGAAGGUGUUGAGGGGGUGCCAAAAGAUGAUAGACAUUUGGGCAAGCUACGACCCUUAUUUCGAAAGUACGGUUUCCAACCCCUAGUGUCGGAGUGCCAGAGACGAGCAAAGGAGAAAGUAGGCAAGAAAGGGGAGAUUAGCGCCAAGAAAGGGAAAACACCCAUGUUAGUUCCCGUAGACGACAUUUUGUUUCACAAGAGAGCUCGUAAGCACUAGGUGAGGCCAGCCCCUAAACCUAAGUCUCAAGAGGAGGUUCUUAAGAUUGCUUCCUCAAAGAAGGCUGAAGCUAAGGCCAUCGGGUGUGCUGCUGCCAUAGUUGCAGAGGAGGAGAGAUGACUGCUGCCUCAUCUUCCUACCAUCAACCCUAUCUUUCCUCCAACCAUGAAGUCUACUGACCAAGAAGGUGACUCUAGCUCCAGCCGUAAGAUAAAGUACAAGGAAUAGGUUGGCAGCAUCCAUUGGAAAGACUUGAAAGUUACCAUGCAGCCAAGUAGUUUUAGGUAUGUCAAUAAUUGCAUGGCAGGACGUCGAUCCACUGUUGAUGAGCUUGGCGAGCCGCUAGAUGAGAAUGAAUCAGAUCGUGACCGGAUAAUGAGGCUAUCUUCUUAUGUUUUGAUCGAGUACGAUGACAGAUUACGAGAGGUCGAGCGGUACAAGGCAAAGUUUAAAGAGAAUAAGCAGCUUGUGAAUGACGCCAGAAAAGCGAGCAAAGCUUUGGCUGAUACCAUCCCUCUUAAGGAUCAAAACUUUGAGAAUUUGAAGAGGCAGAAUGGUGACAACGUGAGGCUCAAGAAACAAUUGGAAGCGACAAAAAAAAACAGUUGGAGACAACCAUCCUUGAUGUUUCCAAGGUUAAAUGGGAGUUGGAUAGUGCAUUGGUUGAGGUUUCUGGGCUGAAUAGGGGUAUCCCAACUGAGAUGGACGCUGCCGUGCAGGAGUUCUUAAGUUUCCAGGCCUUUCACGAUGCCUUUAUACCUCACUGCAUCCGGGCGGCUAAUUUUGAGAAAAGAAAAUGGAUGGCCGUCCUUAUGCGUUACGAUAAUGGAAGCAUUAUCCGAAAGUACCGUGAUGAGAUGGAUAAGUACCGAUAAAAAGGUGAAGCCUUCGUCCUCGCCGUUGAUCCUAGUAGUGAUGAUGACUCUGAUAAUGAGGCUAGUAUCGAUGUGCAAUCUCAGGAGAGUGAAGAUGGUCCUGGAGAUGCUGAGAAAGGUGGUGAUGGUGAUGGGGUUAAAACGCAGAGUGAUAUUGUCAGGGGUUCGGCCUUAGAUGAGGAUGACUCGUAGUGCCCUGUUUUUCUGCAUGUACUAUGGAUGUACGAGUUUGUUGUUUGUGUGGUAUGUGGCAUGUGCCAUGUACUCUGGAUGUACUAGUUUGUUGUUUAUGUGGCACGUGC